rnacentral:tRNA from 3 species
GGAAGGUGAGCGAGAGGUCUCGCAGGUAGUUUGCUAAACUGCUGGAUUGUAAAAGGUUCGGGGUUCGAAUCCUCCUCCUUCCGC